rnacentral:rRNA from 1 species
UACGUAGGGUGCGAGCGUUGUCCGGAAUUAUUGGGCGUAAAGAGCUCGUAGGCGGUGUGUCGCGUCGGCCGUGAAAACCUGGGGCUUAACUCUGGGCGUGCGGUCGAUACGGGCAUCACUAGAGUUCGGCAGGGGAGACUGGAAUUCCUGGUGUAGCGGUGAAAUGCGCAGAUAUCAGGAGGAACACCGGUGGCGAAGGCGGGUCUCUGGGCCGAUACUGACGCUGGGGUGCGAAAGCGUGGGGAGCAAACAGG